rnacentral:rRNA from 1 species
GACGUAGGGGGCAAGCGUUGUCCGGAUUUAUUGGGCGUAAAGAGCGUGUAGGCGGCUGGGUAGGUCUGCUGUGAAAACUCGAGGCUCAACCUCGAGACGUCGGCGGAAACCCUCCAGCUAGAGUCCGGAAGAGGAGAGUGGAAUUCCUGGUGUAGCGGUGAAAUGCGCAGAUAUCAGGAAGAACACCCGUGGCGAAAGCGGCUCUCUGGGACGGUACUGACGCUGAGACGCGAAAGCGUGGGGAGCGAACAGG